AUGGAAGGUGAUAUUGGGCUGUUGAAGGUGAUAGUGGGCUAUGGAAGGUGAUAGUGGGCUAUGGAAGGUGAUAGUGGGCUAUGGAAGGUGAUAGUGGGCUAUGGAAGGAGAUAGUGGGCUAUGGAAGGAGAUAGUGGGCUAUGGAAGGUGAUAGUGGGCUAUGGAAGGUGAUAGUGGGCUAUGGAAGGUGAUAUUGUGCUGUUGAAGGGGAUAGUGGGCUAUGGAAGGUGAUAGUGGGCUAUGGAAGGAGAUAGUGGGCUAUGGAAGGUGAUAGUGGGCUAUGGAAGGUGAUAGUGGGCUAUGGAAGGUGAUAGUGGGCUAUGGAAGGUGAUAGUGGGCUAUGGAAGGAGAUAUUGUGCUGUUGAAGGGGAUAGUGUGCUACGGAAGGUGAUAGUGGGCUACGGAAGGUGAUAGUGGGCUACGGAAGGUGAUAGUGGGCUACGGAAGGUGAUAGUGGGCUACGGAAGGUGAUAGUGGGCUACGGAAGGUGAUAGUGUGCUGUGGAAUGUGAUAGUGUGCUGUGGAAGGUGAUAGUGGGCUAUGGAAGGUGAUAGUGGGCUAUGGAAGGUGAUAGUGGGCUAUGGAAGGUGAUAGUGGGCUAUGGAAGGAGAUAGUGGGCUAUGGAAGGAGAUAGUGGGCUAUGGAAGGAGAUAGUGGGCUAUGGAAGGAGAUAGUGGGCUAUGGAAGGUGAUAGUGGGCUAUGGAAGGUGAUAGUGGGCUAUGGAAAGUGAUAGUGGGCUAUGGAAGGUGAUAGUGGGCUAUGGAAGGUGAUAGUAGGCUAUGGAAGGUGAUAGUGGGCUAUGGAAGGUGAUAGUGGGCUAUGGA